rnacentral:rRNA from 1 species
GAUGAACGCUGGCGGCGUGCCUAAUACAUGCAAGUCGAGCGAACAGACGAGGAGCUUGCUCCUCUGACGUUAGCGGCGGACGGGUGAGUGACACGUGGAUAACCUACCUAUAAGACUGGGAUAACUUCGGGAAACCGGGGCUAAUACCGGAUAACAUGUUGAACCGCAUGGUUCAACAGUGAAAGACGGUCUUGCUGUCACUUAUAGAUGGAUCCGCGCCGCAUUAGCUAGUUGGUAAGGUAACGACUUACCAAGGCAACGAUGCGUAGCCGACCUGAGAGGGUGAUCGGCCACACUGGAACUGAGACACGGUCCAGACUCCUACGGGAGGCAGCAGUAGGGAAUCUUCCGCAAUGGGCGAAAUCCUGACGGAGCAACGCCGCGUGAGUGAAGAAGGUCUUCGGAUCGUAAAACUCUGUUAUUAGGGAAGAACAAAUGUGUAAGUAACUAUGCACGUCUUGACGGUACCUAAUCAGAAAGCCACGGCUAACUACGUG